UAACUUUAAACAUAUCAAUAAGCGGAGGAAAAGAAACUAACAAGGAUUCCCCUAGUAACGGCGAGCGAAGCGGGAAGAGCUCAAAUUUGAAAGCUGGCACCUCCGGUGUCCGCGUUGUAAUCUCGAGACGUGUUUUCCGUGCGGCUCUAUGGACAAGUCCCUUGGAACAGGGCAUCGUAGAGGGUGAAAAUCCCGUACUUGCCAUGGAUGUACCGUGCUUUGUGAUACACGCUCUAAGAGUCGAGUUGUUUGGGAUUGCAGCUCAAAAUGGGUGGUAGACUCCAUCUAAAGCUAAAUAUCGGGGAGAGACCGAUAGCGAACAAGUACCGUGAGGGAAAGAUGAAAAGCACUUUGGAAAGAGAGUUAAAAGUACGUGAAAUUGUCGAAAGGGAAGCGCUUGAAGUCAGCCAUGCUGCGCGGACUCAGCCCGGCUGAUGCCUGGUGUAUUUCCCAGCAGCAAGUCAGCAUGGAUUUGGAUCGCCGGAGAAGGGUGGGAGGAAUGUGGCACCCUCGGGUGUGUUAAGCCUCCUACUGGAUACGGCGAUUUGGAUCCAGGAACGCAGUGUGCCUCUGGCGGGUCUUCGGACACCUUCACACUUAGGAUGCUGGCGUAAUGGCUUUAAGCGGCCCGUCUUGAACCCCGGGACCA
rnacentral:rRNA from 1 species